rnacentral:rRNA from 1 species
UACGGAGGGGGCUAGCGUUGUUCGGAAUUACUGGGCGUAAAGCGCGCGUAGGCGGCUUCGCAAGUCAGAGGUGAAAGCCCGGGGCUCAACCCCGGAAUUGCCUUUGAGACUGCGUCGCUAGAAUCCGGGAGAGGUGAGUGGAAUUCCCGGUGUAGCGGUGAAAUGCGCAGAUAUCGGGAGGAACACCAAUGGCGAAGGCAGCUCGCUGGGACGGUACUGACGCUGAGGCGCGAAAGCGUGGGGAGCAAACAGG